rnacentral:rRNA from 1 species
GACAGAGGGUGCAAACGUUGUUCGGAAUUACUGGGCGUAAAGCGCGUGUAGGCGGCUUGGCAAGUCGGAUGUGAAAUCCCUCGGCUUAACCAAGGAAGUGCAUCCGAAACUGCAGUGCUUGAGUACUUAAGAGGAUCGCGGAAUUCCCGGUGUAGAGGUGAAAUUCGUAGAUAUCGGGAGGAACACCAGUGGCGAAGGCGGCGAUCUGGGAAGAUACUGACGCUGAGGUGCGAAAGCGUGGGGAGCAAACAGG